rnacentral:piRNA from 1 species
UGCUAAUACGAUAUGUUUGCC